rnacentral:lncRNA from 1 species
GUUACAAGAAAGGAUAUGAUUAAGAGAAUUCAACAAAGUUGCCUAUCCUAAGGGAGCAUUCCCAAACAUUCAACUCUACACAAUUUCCCUUUCUUUGAUCCCUAUCUUUUUCUUUUUCUUUUUCUUUUCACAUCCACACAACCAUGAGCAUUUUCUUUGCUUUUUUCUUUCUUUUCUUUUUCUUUGCUCUAUGGUUUCAAGGGUGAUUUCUUUUUCUUGUUUCUUUUCAUAUUUUUACCCUUUCAUAAAAACUCACUUUUCCAAGUUUCUAAUCAACUUUUCACUUUACUCUCCCCAACUUUAGAUUCCAAAACCAAAUUUAUUCAAUAAUGCUCCCUACUUAGACAUAAGCAAAAGGCAAAAUUUGCAAACAACUCGGUUUGAGGUUUCAAUUGAUACGAAAGAAAUUAGGAUUCAUUUAUUCCAAAAUUUUCAAUUGAUUUUACAAUGAUCAAUCAAAUGAAUCCUAAAAUAAGCUCAAAGGGGUUUAACUAAGGAUUACUCCUCACAAGGUUAGUUGAUUCAAACUUUUUGGUCAAGUGGUUUUU